AAAACCUCUCUUAAAUGUAGCAUAAUCCCUGGAUACUAAUACCAGAGUUUUGUAGAUGAGAGACAUAUUCUUUUCUCUGGUACUGCAAUUGCACUACACACCUUGGUGACAUUUUAAUUAGUCUAAAUUUAUAUGCUUUUUCAGUAAAGCCUAUUACCCUUAGAAUCAGUGUUCUUGUUAGAAUGAUAAAAAGGAAUUAUUUCUUUGCAAAUUCCUUUUAAGAUCUAUUGUUACUUUAGGCUUAAUAUAAGUUAAAAAGGGUUGUUGAUAUUCAUCUACUGUGAAUUUCCUUAGUAGUACUGCUUGCUGUACUAAGAGCUGGAGAGAAAAGACACAUGAAAAAAAAUGAGAAUCCAGAAGAAAAAAUGGAAGGGAGUAAUAAGUGUGCAUUACUCAGACUUUAUAUAAAAGCUAGUAAUGUAAUUUUGAAGUUUUUUCUUUCAAUCUUCUAUUUUGGAUAUGUUAAUUUGUUUCAAUUAUCAUUUUAGGAAAAACAUUUUGUAGCUGUAAGAUAAGGAUAAUGUCAUAUUUCCUUACAAUUGAAUUACAAAUAAUUGAAUCUUAAUGGUUUUAAAUUAGUAUUUAUGUUGCAAGAAAUUUGUUUUACUUCUGUAAUUUGCUAAACUGAUGCUUUGUGGAAACAGUUUGAAUACCUUAAGAAACACUUGGAUGAACUGACUUCAAAAAAUAGACACUUGGAAUAUAUGAAUACAAAACUUAAAGAAGAAAUUAUGGAAUGUGAGGAGCUGGAUAUUGAAGAUAAUUUAGAAAGAUCGAAAUUAAAAUACAAUCGGGUGGAACCAUAUACACCAAAGAUUAAAGUACAAGUGAAGCAGGAGACUGAAGAACAAAAUGAUCUUUUCUUACAGUUUGAAUACCUUAAGAAACACUUGGAUGAACUGACUUCAAAAAAUAGACACUUGGAAUAUAUGAAUACAAAACUUAAAGAAGAAAUUAUGGAAUGUGACGAGCUGGAUCUAGAAGAUAAUUUAGAAAGAUUGAAAUUAAAAUACAAUUGGGUGGAACCAUAUACACCAAAGAUUAAAAUACAAGUGAAGCAGGAAACUGAAGAACUAAAUGAUCUAUUCUUACAGAUUCAAGACCUGGAAGCUGAAGUCUUAAAAAUGAAAAUCUCACAUCAAGAGACUAAAGCAAAACUAGAGAGAUGCAAAAAGGAUUAUUCUCAAGAAUAUAGGAAAUGAUCAGCAUGAUGAUUUCAGAGAGGUCAGGGGAGACAUACGUAAACUGAUGCUAAGUGAAAUGAGAAGAAAAAGGCUAUUUUUGUACAUGGCAAAAUUAUAUGAUGAUCAAUUCUCAUGAACGUGACUCUUCACCAAUGGGAUCAUUCAGGUCUGCUGACGAUCUUGGGAUCAUGGGAGCCAUCUACACCCAGAGAGAGGACUGUGGCAACUGAUGGUGGAUUACAACAUAGCAUUUUCAUUCCUGUUGUUGUGCUUUGUUUGAAUUUUAUUCUCUCUCUCUUUCUCUUUUAACUUUUUGAUUUUUUUUUUUUUUGCGUGUGCAGCAAGAUAAUUUUAUUAAUAUGUAUGCCUAUAUUGGAUUUAAUGUAUAUAUUUUGACCAUAUUUAAUGUGUAUUGGAUUUCUUGAUAUUUAGGGAAUGGGGUGAGGAGAAGGGGGUGGAAAUUAGAACAUAAGGGUUUUUCAAGGGUCAAUGUUAAAAAAGUAUAAAAUAAAAAUCAAAUUAAUAAUUGGGACCUGAAAAAAAUAUUAGUAAUGUUU
ensembl:lncRNA